UCGCGUGAUAGGAGAGCGUUCUAAGGGCGGUGAAGCAAGAUCGUGAGGACUUGUGGAGCGCUUAGAAGUGAGAAUGCCGGUAUGAGUAGCGAAAGAUAGGUGAGAAUCCUAUCCACCGAAUGACUAAGGUUUCCUGGGGAAGGCUCGUCCUCCCAGGGUUAGUCGGGACCUAAGUCGAGGCCGAGAGGCGUAGACGAUGGAUAACAGGUUGAGAUUCCUGUACUAGUUAAGUGCGUUUGAGCAAUGGAGGGACGCAGGAGGCUAAGAUGUGCAUUCUGUUGGAUUAGAAUGUCCAAGCAGUAAGUCUGGUGAAGAGUCAAAUGCUUUUCACUUUAAGGACAAGCUGUGAUGGGGAGCGAAAUUUAGUAGCGAAGCGUCUGAUGUCACACUGCCGAGAAAAGCUUCUAGUGAGUACUUAACUACCCGUACCGCAAACCGACACAGGUAGUCGAGGAGAGAAUCCUAAGGUGAGCGAGUGAACUCUCGUUAAGGAACUCGGCAAAAUGACCCCGUAACUUCGGGAGAAGGGGUGCUGAUCGCAAGAUCAGCCGCAGUGAAUAGGCCCAGGCGACUGUUUAUCAAAAACACAGGUCUCUGCAAAAUCGUAAGAUGACGUAUAGGGGCUGACGCCUGCCCGGUGCUGGAAGGUUAAAAGGAUGGGUUAGCUUCGGCGAAGCUCAGAAUUGAAGCCCCAGUAAACGGCGGCCGUAACUAUAACGGUCCUAAGGUAGCGAAAUUCCUUGUCGGGUAAGUUCCGACCCGCACGAAAGGCGUAACGAUCUGGGCACUGUCUCAACGAGAGACUCGGUGAAAUUAUAUUGUCCGUGAAGAUGCGGACUACCCGCGACAGGACGGAAAGACCCCAUGGAGCUUUACUGUAGCUUGAUAUUGAGUGUUUGUACAGCUUGUACAGGAUAGGUAGGAGCCAUAGAAACCGGAACGCUAGUUUCGGUGGAGGCGUUGGUGGGAUACUACCCUCGCUGUAUGACCACUCUAACCCGCACCACUAAUCGUGGUGGGAGACAGUGUCAGGUGGGCAGUUUGACUGGGGCGGUCGCCUCCUAAAAAGUAACGGAGGCGCCCAAAGGUUCCCUCAGAAUGGUUGGAAAUCAUUCGCAGAGUGUAAAGGCACAAGGGAGCUUGACUGCGAGACAGACAGGUCGAGCAGGGACGAAAGUCGGGCUUAGUGAUCCGGUGGUACCGUAUGGAAGGGCCAUCGCUCAACGGAUAAAAGCUACCCUGGGGAUAACAGGCUUAUCUCCCCCAAGAGUCCACAUCGACGGGGAGGUUUGGCACCUCGAUGUCGGCUCAUCGCAUCCUGGGGCUGUAGUCGGUCCCAAGGGUUGGGCUGUUCGCCCAUUAAAGCGGUACGCGAGCUGGGUUCAGAACGUCGUGAGACAGUUCGGUCCCUAUCCGUCGCGGGCGUAGGAAAUUUGAGAGGACCUGUCCUUAGUACGAGAGGACCGGGAUGGACAUACCUCUGGUGUACCAGUUGUGCCGCCAGGCGCAUCGCUGGGUAGCUACGUAUGGAUGUGAUAAACGCUGAAAGCAUCUAAGUGUGAAACACACCUCGAGAUGAGAUUUCCCAUUCCUUUAU
rnacentral:rRNA from 1 species